rnacentral:sRNA from 1 species
AAUCAUCUUUCUGUUUACAUGUUGAUUGGUUUAGAUGUUUAGUUGUUGAGGGCUGUCAGUUAUCAGCAUUCAGCUCUGCAAAUUCCCUCUUUGAAAGGAUUACAUCCCCCCUUCGCUCCGCUCUUCCCCCCCCGAAUUAACAACUGACAAUUAACAAUUGAAUUACGUCAGGCUUUCAGCCCUCCCAACGGGGAUAUUGCUUUUUCCCCAACGCUUCGCAUUGGGCUGAAUUAUUACGCCCUUUCAGGGCUUUUACAGCAUUCAGUUCUCAGCAAUCAGCCUUGCAUUCCCCCCUUUGAAGGGGGAAAAAGGGGAGAUGAAGCAUUGGGUUUGUUUAUUGAAUGGAUUGUAAUACCUUUGCCAUCGAGUAUAAAUAUUAAUGAUAGGAGAUU